UACGUAGGGUGCGAGCGUUGUCCGGAAUUAUUGGGCGUAAAGAGCUCGCAGGCGGUGUGUCGCGUCGGCCGUGAAAACCUGCAGCUUAACUGUGGGCUUGCGGUCGAUACGGGCAUCACUGGAGGUCGGCAGGGGAGACUGGAAUUCCUGGUGUAGCGGUGAAAUGCGCAGAUAUCGGGAGGAACACCGGUGGCGAAGGCGGGUCUCUGGGCCGAUACUGACGCUGAGGAGCGAAAGCGUGGGGAGCGAACAGG
rnacentral:rRNA from 1 species